rnacentral:rRNA from 1 species
UACGAAGGGGGCUAGCGUUGUUCGGAAUUACUGGGCGUAAAGCGCACGUAGGCGGGUGGUUAAGUCAGGGGUGAAAUCCCGGAGCUCAACUCCGGAACUGCCUUUGAUACUGGCCAUCUAGAGAUCGGAAGAGGUGAGUGGAAUUCCCAGUGUAGAGGUGAAAUUCGUAGAUAUUGGGAAGAACACCAGUGGCGAAGGCGGCUCACUGGUCCGAUACUGACGCUGAGGUGCGAAAGCGUGGGGAGCGAACAGG